rnacentral:lncRNA from 1 species
GAGUUCGUCGGAGAUAUUAUCACACUGUCAAGCUAACAUUAUUGGUGUAGUGAUUUCAAGUACUUUGAGCCUAUGGCAUGUAUAGGAGUUUAAAUAUUAGAGUAUGUGAUAUGGCUUUAGCCAUAUGUGUUGGCCUAUUUUGAUUAUGGGGUUGUAAAUCCAUUUUAAUUAUGCAUGCAUGUGCUAUGGUAUUAUGUGAUGAGUUUAUAAUGAUUAUAGCAUGAAUGUGGUAAAGAUGUGAGUAAAAUCUAUGAUAUCUAUUGCAUGUGAAAUUGCCAUAAUCAUGACAUGUUAGGAAUG